CAUACAAAAGGCAAAAUGCCAAAAUACUUGUGUAUACUGACGAAGCACACAUGCUCAGAGAGCGAGAUUGACAGCAAAAACGAGAGAAUGAGAAUUAAGUAGAAGUGUCUACUGCGCAUGACAGGUUAUAAACCAUUCAUUUCCUAAAAGUAUUUACAGAGAUAAGAUAUGAAGUAUUUGUGGGAGAGUUGUUUAGUUACCCCUGCAGCUCGACAGCGUGAACAUUUGUUAAUCUAAUUAAAGUUAAAAUGAGUAUAUUAGCCCGCUUUUCAAUGAACUCUGCUGAAAAGCAGAUUUAUAGAUGGCGCCACGAACCAGCACAUAGUUUUCUAUUCCAAUACCCUUGCAGAGACAAGUUUCAUAUAAACAGACGGAUAUCACUGCGUCGACUUGGCUUGUAAUCCUGGUCAAGAAUACGUAUAUGUAUGUAUCUUACUUAUGAGGUCGAAGGUGCUAUCCUCUGCUACCCUCUUUAAGGAUAAAUUAUCAGCGAGCAAAACCGGAGGUGGUUAAAUAAUUCUUGUUUAUACAAUAUUAUGUAAAAAUAAAGGAUAUAAGAAUUUA